rnacentral:rRNA from 1 species
GACGAACGCUGGCGGCGUGCUUAACACAUGCAAGUCGAACGGAAAGGCCCUGCUUUUGUGGGGUGCUCGAGUGGCGAACGGGUGAGUAACACGUGAGUAACCUGCCCUUGUCUUUGGGAUAACUUCAGGAAACUGGGGCUAAUACCGGAUAGGAGCUCCUGCUGCAUGGUGGGGGUUGGAAAGUUUCGGCGGUUGGGGAUGGACUCGCGGCUUAUCAGCUUGUUGGUGGGGUAGUGGCUUACCAAGGCUUUGACUGGUAGCCGGCCUGAGAGGGUGACCGGCCACAUUGGGACUGAGAUACGGCCCAGACUCCUACGGGAGGCAGCAGUGGGGAAUAUUGCACAAUGGGCGGAAGCCUGAUGCAGCAACGCCGCGUGCGGGAUGACGGCCUUCGGGUUGUAAACCGCUUUCGCCUGUGACGAAGCGUGAGUGACGGUAAUGGGUAAAGAAGCACCGGCUAACUACGUG